UACAGAGGUCCCAAGCGUUGUUCGGAUUCAUUGGGCGUAAAGGGUGCGUAGGCGGCGCGGUAAGUCGGGUGUGAAAUCUCCGGAGCUUAACUCCGAAACUGCAUUCGAUACUGCCGUGCUUGAGGACUGGAGAGGAGACUGGAAUUUACGGUGUAGCGGUGAAAUGCGUAGAUAUCGUAAGGAAGACCAGUGGCGAAGGCGGGUCUCGUGGACAGUUCCUGACGCUGAGGCACGAAGGCCAGGGGAGCAAACGGG
rnacentral:rRNA from 1 species